rnacentral:rRNA from 1 species
GGGAUUGCCUCAGUAACGGCGAGUGAAGCGGCAACAGCUCAAAUUUGAAAUCUGGCCCCUUCGGGGUCCGAGUUGUAAUUUGUAGAGAGUGUUUCGGGGGAGACCGCGGUCUAAGUCCAUUGGAACAUGGUGUCAUAGAGGGUGAGAAUCCCGUAUGUGACCGUGGAUUGAACCCAUGUGAAGCCUCUUCGACGAGUCGAGUUGUUUGGGAAUGCAGCUCAAAAUGGGUGGUAAAUUUCAUCUAAAGCUAAAUACUGGCUGGAGACCGAUAGCGCACAAGUAGAGUGAUCGAAAGAUGAAAAGCACUUUGGAAAGAGAGUUAAACAGUACGUGAAAUUGUUGAAAGGGAAGCGCUGGCAACCAGACCUGCCCGUAGGCGAUCAGCCGCUGUUCUCAGCGGUGCACUCGCUCUGCGAUCAGGCCAGCAUCGGUUUCGGCGGUCGGAUAAAGGCCUUGGGAAUGUAGCUUCCUUUCGGGGGAGUCUUAUAGCCCUCGGUGCAAUGCGGCCAGCCGGGACCGAGGACCGCGCUUCGGCUAGGAUGCUGGCGUAAUGGUUGUCAGCGACCCGUCUUGAAACACGGACCAAGGAGUCUAACAUCUAUGCGAGUGUUUGGGUGUCAAACCCAUGCGCGGAAUGAAAGUGAACGGAGGUGAGAACCCUUAAGGGCGCAUCAUCGACCGAUCCAGAUGUCUUCGGAUGGAUUUGAGUAUGAGCAUAGCUGUUGGGACCCGAAAGAUGGUGAACUAUGCCUGAAUAGGGUGAAGCCAGAGGAAACUCUGGUGGAGGCUCGCAGCGGUUCUGACGUGCAAAUCGAUCGUCAAAUUUGGGUAUAGGGGCGAAAGACUAAUCG